GACGAACGCUGGCGGCGUGCUUAACACAUGCAAGUCGAACGGUGAAGCGCCUUCCUUUUUGGUGGGUGUGGAUGAGUGGCGAACGGGUGAGUAACACGUGAGUAACCUGCCCCCUUCUUCUGGAUAACCGCAUGAAAGUGUGGCUAAUACGGGAUAUUCUGGGUCUGUCGCAUGAUGGGUCUGGGAAAGAUAUUGUUUCGGUGGGGGAUGGGCUCGCGGCUUAUCAGCUUGUUGGUGGGGUGAUGGCCUACCAAGGCGGUGACGGGUAGCCGGCCUGAGAGGGUGGACGGUCACACUGGGACUGAGACACGGCCCAGACUCCUACGGUAGGCAGCAGUGGGGAAUAUUGCACAAUGGGCGCAAGCCUGAUGCAGCGACGCCGCGUGAGGGAUGGAGGCCUUCGGGUUGUGAACCUCUUUCGCCAGUGAAGCAGGCCUGCCUCGUUUGUGGGUGGGUUGACGGUAGCUGGAUAAGAAGCGCCGGCUAACUACGUG
rnacentral:rRNA from 1 species